GACGAACGCUGGCGGCGUGCUUAACACAUGCAAGUAGAACGAAGUGGCGAACGGGUGAGUACUACGUGGGUAACCUGCCCCCCUUUUUGGGCUAAGCCUUGGAAACGGGGUCUAAUACCGAGUCAAGGGGGUCGGGGUCCCGUCCUAUCAGCUUGUUGGUGGGGUGAUGGACUACCAAGGCGGGGACGGGUAGCCGGCCUGAUAGGGUGACGGGCGACAUUGGGACGGCGAGACGGCCCAGACUCCUAGCGGGGGGGGCAGUGGGGGAUAUUGCGCAAGGGGCGAUGGCCAGACGCGGCGGCGCCGCGUGGGGUAUGAGGGCGUUCGGGUUUUAGACCUCUUUCGCUAUCGAACGGGUAGGUGGAGAAUAAGCGCCGGCUAACGACGUGCCAGCAGCCGCGGUAAUUC
rnacentral:rRNA from 1 species